GAGUUUGAUCCUGGCUCAGGACGAACGCUGGCGGUGUGCUUCACACAUGCAAGUCGAACGUGGUAGCAAUACCCAGUGGCGGACGGGUGAGUAACGCGUGGGAAUCUGCCUCAAGAUGGGGGAUAACUGACCGAAAGGUUAGCUAAUACCGCAUAUGCCGAAAGGUGAAAGGAGUAAUCCGUCUUGAGAUGAGCCUGCGUCCGAUUAGCUAGUUGGUAAGGUAAAGGCUUACCAAGGCUAUGAUCGGUAGCUGGUCUGAGAGGAUGAUCAGCCACAAUGGAACUGAGACACGGUCCAUACUCCUACGGGAGGCAGCAGUGGGAAUUUUGUGCAAUGGGGAAACCCUGACACAGCGACACCGCGUGAGCGAAGAAGCCCUUGGGUGUAAAGCUCUGUCAGCUGGAACGAAUAAAUGACGGUACCAGCAGAGGAAGCAUCGGCUAACUACGUGCCAGCAGCCGC
rnacentral:rRNA from 1 species